CCCUUAGAUGUUCGGGGCCGCACGCGCGCUACACUGAAGGACUCAGCGUGUCUCUCCCCCUAUCCCGAAAGGGAUGGGCAACCCGUUGAACCUCCUUCGUGCUAGGGAUUGGGGUUUGCAAUUAUCCCCCAUGAACGAGGAAUUCCCAGUAAGCGCGAGUCAUCAGCUCGCGUUGAUUACGUCCCUGCCCUUUGUACACACCGCCCGUCGCUACUACCGAUUGAAUGAUCCGAUGAAUAUCAUGGAUUGAGGAUGCAAGUAGGUUCACCUAUCUUCAUCUUCGAGAAGUGAAGUAAAUCUUAUCAUUUAGAGGAAGGAGAAGUCGUAACA
rnacentral:rRNA from 1 species